rnacentral:rRNA from 1 species
GAGCACGUAGGUGGGUUUGUAAGUCAGAUGUGAAAGCCUUCUGUUCAACGGAAGAAUUGCAUCUGAAACUGCGAGUCUUGAGUGUAGGAGGGGAGAAUGGAACUUCUGGUGGAGCGGUGAGAUGCGUAGAUAUCAGAAGGAACGCCGGCGGCGAAAGCGAUUCUCUGGCCUAUUACUGACACUCAGUGUGCGAAAGCUAGGGGAGCAAACGGGAUUAGAUACCCCGGUAGUCCUAGCCGUAAACGAUGGGCACUAAGUAGAGGGG